rnacentral:rRNA from 1 species
CUUGAACUUUAUAAGAGGUCCAGCCUGCCCAGUGACUCUGUUCAACGGCCGCGGUAUCCUAACCGUGCGAAGGUAGCGUAAUCACUUGUUCUUUAAAUGCGGACUAGUAUGAAUGGCACUACGAAGGUUAUACUGUCUCCUUUUUCUAAUCAGUGAAACUAAUUUUCCCGUGAAGAAGCGAGGAUAUAACUAUAAGACGAGAAGACCCUAUGGAGCUUUAAACAACCCAGCAAUUACUUCUAAAAUUGUAAAUUUCAGAAUAUUCAUUUCUUAAGUAAUGUGUUUGCAAGUUUUUGGUUGGGGUGACCAUGGAGAAUAACAUAACCUCCAUAUUGAAUGAAUUCCCUUCUAAGCUGAAAAUUACCAAUUGAAGCAUCAACAUACUGACAUCUAUUGACCCAAUAUAUUUGAUCAACGAAC